UUAUUAAAUAUUGGAAGGAUAAAGUUUGAUGUUUUCCUCUUUUGACAAAGAUGGUUCUGUACAGACUGUGUUCAAUUUCAACCAACAAAGCGAUGAAUCUCUUGUCUAAUUGUGUAAAAAUACAGAACUCUGUGAGCCAAGGCGCCCAACCCAAUCAAACCCGCAUGAACUCUCGUCUCAAUGGCUCUGCUCGUCUCAUGCUAGUCUCGGAUCUUGAUUACACCAUGGUGGAUCAUGAUGAGCCUGAAAAUCUGUCUCUUCUGAGGUUCAACGCGCUGUGGGAAGCAAAUUACCGCCAUGAUUCUCUGCUGGUAUUUUCAACCGGAAGAUCACCAAUCACUUACAAGCCAUUGAGGAAUGAGAAACCCUUGCUAACGCCUGAUAUAACAAUCAUGUCUGUGGGAACUGAGAUUAUGUAUGGUUAUGGUGAGGCUAUGGUUCCUGAUGAUGGGUGGAAGCAACAUCUGAAUCACAAGUGGGAUAGAGACAUUGUUGUUGAGGAAACUAAUAAAUUUCCUCAACUUACUCCUCAGGAAGAGGGAGAGCAACGACCUCACAAGGUUAGCUUUUAUGUAGAGAAGGUUGUGGCAUCGGAGAUAAUGAAUGUUUUAUCACAACGGUUGGAGAAACGUGGGUUAGAUGUGAAGAUAAUUUAUAGCAGUGGGAUUGCUUUGGACGUUUUACCAAAAGGGGCGGGCAAAGGGCAAGCUCUUGCAUAUUUGUUGAAGAAAUUCAAACUUGAGGGGAAGCUUCCCUACGACAUUCUGGUUUGUGGUGACUCUGGAAAUGAUGCUGAACUAUUCAGUCUUCCUGAAGUGUAUGGUGUGAUGGUCAGUAAUGCAAAAGAAGAAUUGUUGCAGUGGUAUGCAGAAAAUGCACACAGAAAUUCCAAUAUACUUCAUGCAACAGAGAGAUGUGCAGCUGGGAUAAUACAAGCCAUUGGAAAUUUUCAUCUGGGUCCAAAUGUAUCUCCAAGAGAUUUCAAAGAUUUCCAAAAGUGCAAAGUGAAGAAUUUUAGUCCUGCACAUGAGGUUGUAAAGUUCUAUUUGUUUUAUGAGAGAUGGCGGCGUGCAGAAGUGGAGAAAUCUGAGCAGUAUUUUCAAAACUUGAAAUCAGUCUUUCACCCAUUGGCUAUCUUUGUCCAUCCCUUGGGAGUUGAGCUACCUAUCCACCAGUGCAUGGAUGCAAUGGCAAAGUCGUAUGGAGAUAAGCAGGGAAAACAGUUUUGGACAUGGGUGGAUCGAUUAUCCUCAACUCAAAUUGGCUCAGACACAUGGCUUGUGAAGUUUGAUAAGUGGGAAUUGAAUGAUGAUGAGCGGCAAUGCUCUCUGACUACAGUCCUGAUGAGUUCAAAGUCAGAGGUACCGGAUGCUUAUACUUGGCUGCACAUGCAUCAAACAUGGUUCGAUGGUGUAGAACUUAAAGAACCAGAAAGAUGGGUAUUCUAGGUUCCUAAUGAGAUCAGCAUCUAUUUUUCGCAACCCCAAUAAAUGAUACUGAUUAUAUGCAACUGACUUAUGAAGGUGGGGCUCUGAUUCCAUAUUGCUUACACAUUCCAUACUGCAUGCUGUUUCUUAAAGAAUUCAGUAUCCCUUUCCACGUUUUCUGGUCAUGCAAAGACAAAUGCAACUCGCUAGGUCAAAGGAACAUGAUGAUUUGAGAUUGAAGAUUAAUUUGGAUUGUAAGUCAAUUGCAAAAUCAUGAGUACUCAGUAUAUAGAUACACUAAGGUGCUCUCUUACAAAAUCUUAUGCAUUAAAUACUACAUUCAGUUGUGGUAAUUUAAUUCCCAAGCAAUUGAAGAACCCAGAAACUUAGAUGAAUGUUUGCCAGGAUUGUUAAGUAACCAGUAUCCGCCAGGGCCGUAGGUAGGAGAAGUGAGACAGUGAUUGGUUUUGUGCCCCUGCAAGAAAUUAGUAUAAACAUGCCUUAAGAUUACAUAUGGUAUAUUGAAUUGCAAAUGUUAGAAUUUUCUACUGGAAGGUGUAGAGGGAAAAAGAUAAGUCCGUUAUGAUUCAUGACUUCCGGGUUUGUGGUCAUGCUUUCAGAUGGGGCAGCUAAUGUUGAAAGAACUUCACUCUUUGUUGUGCAAUAAUACUAUUAGGCUCUGGAAUACAUUCCAGUAAAGCAUUUAAGGUGGA